rnacentral:rRNA from 1 species
GGGCGAUGCGGGUGCUAUACAUGCAGUCGAACGCACAGCGAAAGGUGCUUGCACCUUUCAAGUGAGUGGCGAACGGGUGAGUAACACGUGGACAACCUGCCUCAAGGCUGGGGAUAACAUUUGGAAACAGAUGCUAAUACCGAAUAAAACUUAGUGUCGCAUGACACAAAGUUAAAAGGCGCUUCGGCGUCACCUAGAGAUGGAUCCGCGGUGCAUUAGUUAGUUGGUGGGGUAAAGGCCUACCAAGACAAUGAUGCAUAGCCGAGUUGAGAGACUGAUCGGCCACAUUGGGACUGAGACACGGCCCAAACUCCUACGGGAGGCUGCAGUAGGGAAUCUUCCACAAUGGGCGAAAGCCUGAUGGAGCAACGCCGCGUGUGUGAUGAAGGCUUUCGGGUCGUAAAGCACUGUUGUAUGGGAAGAACAGCUAGAAUAGGAAAUGAUUUUAGUUUGACGGUACCAUACCAGAAAGGGACGGCUAAAUACGUGCCAGCAGCCGCGGUAAUACGUAUGUCCCGAGCGUUAUCCGGAUUUAUUGGGCGUAAAGCGAGCGCAGACGGUUUAUUAAGUCUGAUGUGAAAGCCCGGAGCUCAACUCCGGAAUGGCAUUGGAAACUGGUUAACUUGAGUGCAGUAGAGGUAAGUGGAACUCCAUGUGUAGCGGUGGAAUGCGUAGAUAUAUGGAAGAACACCAGUGGCGAAGGCGGCUUACUGGACUGCAACUGACGUUGAGGCUCGAAAGUGUGGGUAGCAAACAGGAUUAGAUACCCUGGUAGUCCACACCGUAAACGAUGAACACUAGGUGUUAGGAGGUUUCCGCCUCUUAGUGCCGAAGCUAACGCAUUAAGUGUUCCGCCUGGGGAGUACGACCGCAAGGUUGAAACUCAAAGGAAUUGACGGGGACCCGCACAAGCGGUGGAGCAUGUGGUUUAAUUCGAAGCAACGCGAAGAGCCUUACCAGGUCUUGACAUCCUUUGAAGCUUUUAGAGAUAGAAGUGUUCUCUUCGGAGACAAAGCGACAGGUGUGCAUGGUCGUCGUCAGCUCGUUGUCGCGA